rnacentral:rRNA from 1 species
CACGUAGUUAGCCGGGGCUUCUUAUUCAGGUACCGUCAUCUAUUUCUUCCCUGUCGAUAGAAGUUUACAUACCGAAAUACUUCUUCCUUCACGCGGCGUUGCUGCAUCAGGGUUCCCCCCAUUGUGCAAUAUUCCCCACUGCUGCCUCCCGUAGGAGUUUGGACCGUGUCUCAGUUCCAAGUGUGGCCGUUCACCCUCUCAGGCCGGCUACUGAUCGUCGCCUUGGUAGGCCGUUGCCCCACCAACUAGCUAAUCAGCCGCGAGCUCCUCCUUAACCAAUAAAUCUUUUCUCACUUAACGAUGCCGCUAUGUGAGCUUAUGCGGUAUUAGCACUAAAUUUCUUUAGUGUUACUCCCCCUAGUUAAAGGCAGUAUUACUCACGUGUUCCUCACCCGUCCGCCGCUAACGUUAUUACAGUGCAAGCAUAAAUAACUUCGCUCGACUUGCAUCGUGUUAAGCGACGCCGCCAGUCGUUCAUCCUGAGCCAAGGACUACCAAAAUCC